rnacentral:rRNA from 1 species
UACGUAGGGUGCAAGCGUUAAUCGGAAUUACUGGGCGUAAAGCGUGCGCAGGCGGUUGUGUAAGACAGAUGUGAAAUCCCCGGGCUCAACCUGGGAACUGCAUUUGUGACUGCACAGCUGGAGUGCGGCAGAGGGGGAUGAAAUUCCGCGUGUAGCAGUGAAAUGCGUAGAUAUGCGGAGGAACACCGAUGGCGAAGGCAAUCCCCUGGGCCUGCACUGACGCUCAUGCACGAAAGCGUGGGGAGCAAACAGG